rnacentral:rRNA from 1 species
UAGGGAAUCUUCGGCAAUGGACGAUAGUCUGACCGAGCAACGCCGCGUGAGUGAAGAAGGUUUUCGGAUCGUAAAACUCUGUUGUUAGAGAAGAACAAGGACGUUAGUAACUGAACGUCCCCUGACGGUAUCUAACCAGACAGCCACGGCUAACUACGUGCCAGCAGCCGCGGUAAUACGUAGGUGGCAAGCGUUGUCCGGAUUUAUUGGGCGUAAAGCGAGCGCAGGCGGUUUCUUAAGUCUGAUGUGAAAGCCCCCGGCUCAACCGGGGAGGGUCAUUGGAAGCUGGGGGACAUGAGUGCAGAAGAGGAGAGUGGAAUUCCAUGUGUAGCGGUGAAAUGCGUAGAUAUAUGGAGGAACACCAGUGGCGAAGGCGGCUCUCAGGUCUGUAACUGACGAUGAGGCUCGAAAGCGUGGGGAGCAAACAGG